rnacentral:lncRNA from 1 species
AGCCGAGCCGAGCCGAGCCGAGCCGAGGCCGUGGCCGCUCCGCCGCUGCCCUCUAGCGGUGGCGGCCCGCUCAGCCGCUCUCCGCCCCGCGGGUUCGGGCCUGGCUCUCCGGGGCUGUCCGUGGGCGAGCGCAGCCCCUUGGAAAGAUUAAUCCACGUUUGCGUGGAAUACUUUAAAGCUGUCUGCAGUGAUCCCAUGGAUUCUCCACACACUGUGCAGCUGAGGGCUGCAUCAUCCCAUCCCAUCAGCAGUCCUGGGAGCCAUAGCAUGGGAGCUGGCCAGCAGGUACAUGGAUGUGGGAGGCACAGACAUGUGACUUCCCUGUUGCCUUAUUCAUGAGAGAUCUAUUUCUGCAAAGUCAUUGUAAAUCACCAUCAUUCUGCUCUGGUUUGAUAUCCUACUGCCCUGAUUUGGAGUGCUGUCACACCUAACUAAAGCUAGGUGGGUAAAAAAAGAUGGGGCUUCAAGUGCAGCUAAACAUCUUAAAUCCAUGCUGGGGCCAGAUCUUAAGCUGCUGUAUUUCAGCAAGGAUGUUAUUCUAUAUCUGCUGAAGACAUAGCUUCUGGUUUUUGAUUAGCCAGAAAAUAGCUUUCAAAAAAGCCUGGGAAUAUAAUAUGCUGGGAAUUCUUCACAGACUGUUUUUCCAUUAGAACUGGCUGCCAGCCUGCUUAGGAGACUGUCUGACAUCAGGUACUUUCCUAGGAAGUCUCUAUUAUCUGAUACUGGUAUUAUUUUUGUGCCAAUGAUUGAAUUAAACUAUUCUGUUCUUAUUUCAAAAUGAAACCAUUCUAAUGUAAAAGCCCUGGAUGGAUAAUAUCCUUUAAUUCAGCUGGCCAAAGACACUUCUUUUGUUUUAAACAAAUUAACCUAAAAUUGAAAUGAAAGUUUUGACAGUCAAGAAAGUGUAGUCCAAAACAGCUCACAAGUUACAAAGAGCUAAUCAGGCAGAUGUCUGAGACAGUGGAAGUAAAUACUGAUCUCAUUCACGCUGCUCUGAACUGAAAGCUACAUGAUGAAAAUCCUGGGAACCCCUUAGAUCAGCUCCAGGCUGAGCUCAUCAUCACCAGCUAUGGAAUAGCAGCAUUUGGCUGCAAAUUAAAUAUCAGGUCACCCUGAUAAAAGCACCCUGUCUAACUGCAGCAGGGACUUCAGCAGCAAGAAGUAUUUGGGGAUUGUGUUUUGUCACUGACCAAAGUUGAGGGUGACUGAUGAGGUGUUAGGCUGAGACGCCUCAAAGGAGCUGAUUUUUGGAAAUCCU